rnacentral:lncRNA from 1 species
CAAAAUUCAAAUGUACCAAUUUAUAUAUUUUAUUUCAUUUUCAAAAAUCAUAUAUAACAGAUUUCUACAUUUUCUCCUAUAUUUAAUCUCAUUCUAUAUCGAUACACUAUUAGGUACACCUCUGCACGUAACACCUGGCUCAGAACUCGGAACCAACAACUCGUAAGGCAAAACUCCAGCUCCACACCUGUUUCUACGGUUAGGAUCACUGUUUCUUUUCUCAAUCUCUUUUUCUGUGUUUGACUUUAAGUUAUAGGUCAAUUUUGCAAAAAUCCCUAUAUAUUAUUUAUAAAAUGUAUAGGCAAACAAAUAUUCUAUCCGUCCAAUCUCCGCCGCAAAUCCAUAAAACGCAUCAACAAUCUCCGCAUCUCCGGUCCAAGUGGACGGUUGUUGUCUCUCCCCGAUAUACUCCUCAUCCGGAGAAUGCGUUGACAACGUAUCAACCACCGCCAUAAACUUCGACGUUUGCAACAAACUCGGCAUCGAAGAAAAAUAAAAUUUCUCAGGAUCCGAGAUAAAACUUGCGUACUCCGGAUCCGACUCGUCAGGGAUUAACCGUCGCAUCAGCGGAGGUCGGUUUGGGACGUAACCUCCAUACGGAUACUGUCCGAAGUUGAGAGCGGCGUGUUGAGCGGAGGCGAGCCAGACUAGUGUGGUGAGGAUGGAGACUAGGUCGUCCACGGUGUCUAACUUUGGCCACCACUCGGCUUCGCGGAGAUCUGCAUGGCCUACGUUGAUUGACUCCGAGUACCACGAUUGGAGUUCCGAGUCUGUUUGAAUUGAGUUCGAGUUUGGAUAGUAACGUUCCACGUAAGUUCGGACCCAUGUUUGGAUUGCGGACCAUAUUAGAAGACCGUCGUUCGCAUAUGGAUAGUCUUCGAUCAGGAGUUUAAGUCCAUGUGGUUGUGUUGGGUCUGGAACUGCCAUUCCUCUAAAAAACAAAAUAAAACGAUCAAUAUUAGAUAUCAUACGUAUAAAAUUGUGUUUGACAUAAUCAAGAAUAGUAUAUGUCUAACAAAGUUUAGCUACAAUACCUGCGAAUGAGAUCGGCAGGGAGGCCUUCCAUGUCGAACCGCCAACUACUUUUGUAGGCUGCGGAGCUCAUUUCCAAACCGUAUUGGCCAGCAGUGAAGCCUCCUUCAAUCACACCGUCUGCACUGAUCAAUGAUUGUCUAGCCAGUGCAUUGAUCUCCAACGUAUACCUCAUGUGUGGAUCCAAUAGUUUGAAUAUCGGAUGCAUAGCGCUUAAUUGCCUAUGUGCAGCUAUUAUAAACGGUUCCAAGCAUGCAUGGGUUCGUAACCUUUAGAACAAAAAUUGAUAAAUAUAUCAAUAACUCUAUAUUCAUUAUUAACAACUUGUUACAUAAAUGAUUAGUAAGUUAACGUUUUGAGUACUAACCAGUGGUUAACAAGUUGGUGGACUCCAGCAUCGUUGGAGCUAACAUGUGCUUUAGCGAGCUGCCACACCCAGUUAGAGGUUGCAUCGACAGGAGGUGUAACAACUCGUUUGGAUCGGUGGUUCGGGCCAUGGGAAGGGAGGCUUAGCUCGAUGGCUACGGGCUUAAGUGUUCCAAGACGAGUCAAGAAGAAAAUGGUUCGAGUAGCAUAUGCUUUGCGUCCAUCGAGCGCAUUGAUUUGGUCUAGGAACGGUAAGAAUAUGUCAUGGUAAUCCAACAUAUACAAUCUGUUCUCUUCCAACGCCUGAAAAAUAAUUAAACAAAAAUUAGUUGAUCAAAUUUCACUUUUAGUAAUUAUUCGAGUAAUUUGGAUUUGUUUAUAGUAUAAAACGUACUUGUUGAACGGACAAGCCGUCAAGAUGUCCGAUGAUGUGGUCGGAAGUGAGAGCGGAGUGUUGUGGACCGUAGAUUUCGGGGUCAAGAUUACUGACGGGUGGGAAAGUCUUGACUCUCUCAAUGUUGACUGGAUUGAUUCCAGCUAUGGCUUGACGUGCGAACUCGUCAUCUCGUAGCCAUGCGUUUUUAUCCUCUGCAUUCAUUUUAAAAAAAAAGUCAAUUAGUUAAUAACGCUGAUGUGCUAAGCAUGUUAUGAUUUUGAAUUAAUGAAAGGCAAACGCGCUUUUGUUUAUUCACAAACUAAUACUACUAUAACUAGCACGAGCGUUAUAACGAGUCAAGAAAAGCACGUGAAACAUGCAUAUGUUUGCUUAUGCACUCUUUUAUUCCUGCUUUUCAACUAAAAUGAUUAUUUCUUACUUUUUGGUAGGACGAUAACACUUCAUAAUGGUCCCAAUUAUCAAAGACCAACAAUCGCCACAAAAUCAAAGUUCAUUUUCUAUUAAAACACCCUUUUUAUUAAAAUCAAAAUUUGAUGUUAAAAUUUUUUAUGAAUUAAGUGAGCUUACUCGAUAAUAUUUUGGGAGUGUCGUAUUUGAGGAGUCCUUUCGAAGAUUCUUGGAGGGUAUUAACGAUGCCCUUAGGCAAAGGGAACUUGUUGAAUAUCUCAUCUUGAAAUCCUAACUUCAGUAGCAAGCCUUUUUUGUAGAGAUCAUCAAUCUCUCCGAAGUCAGAAAAGUCAUCAGCUAAAAUACUAGCUUUAAGCGACGGAACAAGGUGGUGUAACACCGCUUUUAACCUCCCUGCGGCGAAAGUGUCCUGCUUAGUCUCUUCAAAUUGCUCGUCUCGUGGCACGUACAUAGGUAAUGGCUUUUCCACUCGGCUCUCCGCUUCAUUAUCUGCCAACAAUGCAGAUAAAACAUCAGAUACAUUUUUUUCACAGUACCAGUCAUGGACAAUUGGACAUGACCAAAUGAAACAUUGGCUGUAGAACUUCAAAAAAAUUAGAGUCAAUUUAUAAAAAUGUAUCUCUCCAAUUUUUUAAUUUUUUUUAAAAAAAAUCGUUAAUUACUGACUUGUUUAUCGUCUCAAAAUUUCAUGAUCCGCUUGAUUUCAUAACACCCAAAACACAUAUACUAUUAGAGAUAUUGUUUUUAAGAAUGUUGUUAUGAAUUGUACCGGUAUCAGUUGGCUGGCGACCAGUGCGACACCGUCUAGGGUAAGGCCUCUCUCUGCCACCGAGUUUCGGACGAGAGAGUUCAGAUGACUUGUCGGGAUUUCCAAGAUCGUUGUAGACAUCAAAGUCAUAGAUUCUGUCUGAUAACUUCCUGACUCCAGUCCCAUCUCCUCGUAGAUUCUUCAACUCUUUCCCCCUUAGUUUUCUUAAUCCUUCAGGUGUCUCACUCGGCAAAAACGGCUGCACACAAAUUAACAUAACUUGAUUUUUAAUAAUUUAUAACCACAUAUUAUUUAUGGGAAUAUAGUUGAAAGCUGGCUAAUAAGUAUUAUUAUAUGGACCCACCAGACAUGAAUAUUGGAGAAGAUUUUGAAACUGAUUAGUAUAUGUGAUUAAUUCGUUGGAGAUCGAAAAUGACGUGACUUAAAUGGUCUGGGACCGUAAUUAAUUAUGUAUCAGUCAGAUAUUUUAAUCAGUAGGAUCCAUGUGCUCAGUUUUCGUUCUAUUUGAUUUAUAAACAAAUCAACCAUAAAUUUUAAAGAAAAAAAUACGAAAAUAGAAGAAAAUCUACUUUGAGCUUAUUACAUCUUUGGAAAAGAAUGCAUGUCUUCUAUUUCUAUAUAUUGAUUACUCGCGUGAGAGCCACUUGGUCCACACAUGGACUUAUGUACAAUUGUACUUAUAUAUGUCGUUUAUUUGUCAUCUUUCUCUACGUCACUAACAAGCUCAGCUCGAUUGAGGUUGUUGGCUUUUUGUCUGAUAAAUCUAAUUAAGUUGAUUACUCUGCAUCAUUGGAUCAGAAUCAACCAGACACAAAUAGCUUUUUGUACGUUCGAUUUUUCUACCCAACUUAAGGUUCGUAUGUAUGUCAGAUUAGGUUAAAACCAUAAGAACAAACCUUGUCUUGACUCUUUAGUGUAUAUCUCGAUCUGCCUUAAUUUCCCUGAUGAAAAGGUACAAAUAUAUAUUUUAUACGUCUGAGGAGAUAGUGUGUGACCCAAGUUAGGUCAGAACCCAAGAAGCCUUGGUUUUAGGUCCAAUUUAAAGUUGAAACAGAGCCACUUUGAAGUUUUCUUUUGAAAAAUUUAAGUUGAGCAAUCGAGAUCUCCAUGAUCCAAUUCGAAAGGGAGUCACUUUGAAGUUAUCUAUAAAAUGAGCCCAAAUCAUAAUCCAUCGUCGCAACAAUAAGCAUAUGGUAUUUUAAAUUUUCAAAUUUCAUAAAUUUUAUGGUCUUUUGGGCCAUAAUUAACCGGAGAUGAACAAAUCCAUUGUCUGAAUAUAUUUCAAAAUAUUAUGAAUAUGAAUUUAAAUCUAGCUUCGAGAACAUAUCUGCAAAAUUCAAAUGUACCAAUUUAUAUAUUUUAUUUCAUUUUCAAAAAUCAUAUAUAACAGAUUUCUACAUUUUCUCCUAUAUUUAAUCUCAUUCUAUAUCGAUACACUAUUAGGUACACCUCUGCACGUAACACCUGGCUCAGAACUCGGAACCAACAACUCGUAAGGCAAAACUCCAGCUCCACACCUGUUUCUACGGUUAGGAUCACUGU